rnacentral:rRNA from 1 species
AUUGAACGCUGGCGGCAUGCCUUACACAUGCAAGUCGAACGAGUGGCGUACGGGUGAGUAAUGCAUCGGAACCUGCCGCUUAGUGGGGGAUAACUGUCCGAAAGGCCAGCUAAUACCGCAUAUCAUUCGACGGGCCGAUGUCCGAUUAGCUAGUUGGCGGGGUAACGGCUCACCAAGGCGACGAUCAGUAGCGGGUCUGAGAGGAUGAUCCGCGACACGGGGACUGAGACACGGCCCAGACUCCUACGGGAGGCAGCAGUGGGGAAUUUUGGACAAUGGGCGCAAGCCUGAUCCAGCCAUGCCGCGUGUCUGAAGAAGGCCUUCGGGUUGUAAAGGACUUUUGUCAGGGAAGCGGUACCUGAAGAAUAAGCACCGGCUAACUACGUGCCAGCCGCCGCGGUAAUUC